rnacentral:rRNA from 1 species
UACGUAGGGUGCUGAGCGUUGUCCGGAAUUAUUGGGCGUAAAGAGCUCGUAGGCGGUGUGUCACGUCGUUCGUGAAAACCUGCAGCUUAACUGUGGGCGUGCGGUCGAUACGGGGCAGGCUCGAGUUCGGUAGGGGAGACUGGAAAAUUCCUGGUGUAGCGGUGAAAAUGCGCAGAGUAGUCAGGGAGGGGAAAACACCCCGGUGGGCGAAAGGGGCGGGUCUCUGGGGCCCCG